rnacentral:lncRNA from 1 species
UUUUUAAAAAACUUACAUCCUUGGCUCUAAGCGGUGUAAAAUGGAAAAAUCGAAUACUUAUCGUGUUCUUCUCUUGUAAUCUUCAAAUACGUUCAUUUGUUCGUCGCACGAAUCUCACGGUUCUAUUCCAUCAACGUCUCAUACAAGGACAGCGGAAAAGUGAGUAAAUUCAUCCGACAUAAAAAUCCUUGGACGGAAGAAAAAAGGAACAGAAAACAAGGAUAAAGACAAGAAUGUUAGCCAAGACGUUGGAAAUUCUAUGGAGCUGAUGUCAGUGCUACGAUUGCAGUAACAUGUUAGCUACGUAGCCAACAUAUACGAACGGGAAUCGAUGAAUACAAUUCAGGUCAUUGGCAAUACCAUGUUAAAGCGCCUGUCAGGCAGGUAACUGCGGACUUUCGAUCGAGGAGAAAGCCACAAAAUUCUCAGGUAUUUCUUCGAACUUACGCGUAUUGAUACUCCGUGAGAUUUUUAAUCUUACCAGCUCGUUGACCAGUUUGUUGGUGACUCACAACGCUCUUUUCAGUGACGUAAUAAUUACGGUACUAUUUUAUCAAUUGAAGGAUCUGUCAGAUUCUUGAUUUUUACCCGGAGCUUUGAACAAUGUUGCGAAUUACAUCGUCUAUAGAUGUGAAAAAGUUAAUUAAAAGGCAUCGUUAACGGGAGUGCUUUGAGUUAGCGAGUUCGCGCAGCUUUUAUCGUCGCUAUACCGUCGACGUUGACUAUACAGAGUAUCGUGUACUCUGGCCAAUCAUUUACGCCACUUUACAGCUUAAGCUUGAAUCAGCAGCCAGCAACGGCAGACAGCAAUGACACGAUGCCAUCUAAAUUAAUUCUUCUUGCGUAUAAUUAAUGUGGAACACUUAUACUCUCGAGUAUAACACGAGGUCGAGUGCCAAUAAAAUUGAAAGCGCAAAUAAGGCAAUGGAACGAUACGUCACGAAUCGUUUGCAUCUUUUUCUUAUAAACGGAUACUUUUCAUCGACGCAUGUUCGACCGCAGCUGCGUUUAUGCGAGCUGCUGAUUACAUAGGUGCAGAUUAACAAAACGUCAAAGGCCGAGCAUGCAAUAUGCAAUAAGCAGAUCUUUGUAACGAAACGUCUUAAAGAGAGAUCGCGUCCAAAGCUCUAUUUAAGAAUCCACGAUACGAAGACCUCGUUGAAUUGGCUUGACCGAUAAACUAGCUUCUAUUCAUUGCGUGAUCUCAAAAAUUUGAUCUUAGUACGCGGUUAUACAAUUAAAUUGAAUAAUUAAGCUGAUUUCAACAUUUUAAGUUGAUAUUACACGUAUAUCGCAAAAUUACGUGCAGACUCGAAUCUGAGACACACAAAAAUAUGUUAAUGAUUGUAAAUUAAACAAUUAAAUUAUUACGUAUAGAUAAAACGAAUGAGAUAUCAAAGCGCCACCUUGCUUCCUCUAAGGUAACGAAAUUGGGCGGUUGCAAGGAAAAUUUAUGCCUAUUAUCCAAGAUCUUGAUGAACUAUUUACGUGUAAUGAUUAACGACGAGUAAUCGUGUGAUAUCUGCUUGUAAAGAGAAAUCGAAGGAGGGAGGAGGGUUUCUUCCAUGCCGAGAGGCAUUUGCCUUGAUAUCAAAAUUGGUUUCAAUACCUUCAAUGCCACCCGGACAAGGCUUGCCAAUGGAGCAAAGUGACGAGCAAUUUACUGCCACUUUUCACUUUCGAGAAAUAACACCGAGUAAACGGAUCACUUCACUCUGUUGAUUCAUGCUUAAUGACUUUCGAACUUAAUAUGCAAUUCUCUAUUGAACAUUACUGUUAAAUGCCAUAUAAUAUGUAGAACUGAUAAAAGUACUAUUAAAAAGAACCAAUUUCACUCUUAAACUUACCUCUUUCACUAAUUAAACACGCGAUUAAAAACAGAUUGAAUAGUCAUAUACACAAAUUGAAUAUUUCAUGUACACCACAGUCGUUCGAUCGUCAUCGUUCCGAACUCGAACAAAGUCGAUAACUGCUUGCCAGGGAGCAUUUCUGCUGCUUUGCUCAACGUGGAACAUACGUAAUAUUUUUGUACAUCGUCCAAUAUAGGUAGAUCUAGAACCGCGACCCAAUUUCUCGGAUACCAUGUGUCUGAAAACGCGGUCAGGUAUUAUUCUGCGUAGGAAUAUAUAUUAUGCAACACAAACGUAACAGCAUGUACUGCUCGAUUAAUACAGAGGAAAGACGCAGCAAAGGCGGAUCCACUUGUUCCAUCCGUAUAAGUACUACACGUUCGUUGCUCCAAUUUGAUUAGUCAGAAACUGACCGUUCUCGAUGUGAAGAUUAUUAUUAUCAUACAUUAAAAUUAUUAUCUCACAUAUCAGGUGUGUAA